GGAGCAGUCUGGUAGCUCGUCGGGCUCAUAACCCGAAGGUCGUUGGUUCAAAUCGGAGCAGUC
rnacentral:tRNA from 1 species